GAUGAAGAACGUAGCGAAAUGCGAAAAGUAGUGUGAAUUGCAGAAUUCAGUGAAUCAUCGAAUCUUUGAACGCACAUUGCGCCCCUUGGUAUUCCAUGGGGCAUGCCUGUUCGAGCGUCAUUUGUACCCUCAAGCUCUGCUUGGUGUUGGGUGUUUGUCCCGUUUCACGCGUGGACUCGCCUUAAAGCAAUUGGCAGCCGGCAUACUGGCCUUGGAGCGCAGCACAAUUUGCGCUUCUUGCCCUGAAUGUCAGCGUCCAUCAAGUCUACAUUUUACUCUUGACCUCGGAUCAGGUAGGGAUACCCGCUGAACUUAAGCAUAUCAAUAAGCGGAGGA
rnacentral:misc_RNA from 1 species